ensembl:miRNA Mir6337 microRNA 6337
UCUAACAUUUCACAGUCCUUUUCUAUCCAAGAAGAGGUGUAGGGGGAGGAACACCCUGUAAAAAAUGUCACUCUGUGGAGAUGAGGGCUGCUGAGUUGCUAGGUU